rnacentral:rRNA from 1 species
UACGUAGGUGGCAAGCGUUGUCCGGAUUUACUGGGCGUAAAGAGCGCGCAGGCGGUCGUUCAAGUCGCGUGUGAAAGCCCCCGGCUCAACUGGGGAGGGUCACGCGAUACUGAUCGACUCGAAGGCAGGAGAGGGAAGUGGAAUUCCCGGUGUAGUGGUGAAAUGCGCAGAUAUCGGGAGGAACACCGAUGGCGAAGGCAGGUCUCUGGGCUGACACUGACGCUCAUGCACGAAAGCGUGGGGAGCAAACAGG